AGGGUUUGAUCCUGGCUCAGAACGAACGCUGGCGGCGCGCCUAAUACAUGCAAGUCGAGCGAGAAGGUGUAGCAAUACACUGGUACAGCGGCGAACGGGUGAGGAAUACAUGGGUAACCUACCCUCGAGUGGGGAAUAACUAGCCGAAAGGUUAGCUAAUACCGCAUACGACUCCCGAAUUGCGGUUCGGGAAAGAAAGCCAUACCGUGGGUAUGGCGCUCCUGGAUGGGCUCAUGUCCUAUCAGCUUGUUGGUGAGGUAACGGCUCACCAAGGCUUCGACGGGUAGCUGGUCUGAGAGGACGAUCAGCCACACUGGCACUGCGACACGGGCCAGACUCCUACGGGAGGCAGCAGUAAGGAAUAUUGCGCAAUGGGCGACAGCCUGACGCAGCGACGCCGCGUGGGGGAUGAAGGUCUUCGGAUUGUAAACCCCUUUCGGGAGGGAAGAGGGAAUGGGGUAACCCAUUCGGACGGUACCUCCAGAAGCAGCCACGGCUAACUUCGUGCCAGCAGCCGCGGUAAUACGAAGGUGGCAAGCGUUGUUCGGAUUCACUGGGCGUACAGGGAGCGUAGGCGGUUGGGUAAGCCCUCCGUGAAAUCUCCGGGCCUAACCCGGAAAGUGCAGAGGGGACUGCUCGGCUUGAGGACGGGAGAGGAGCGCGGAAUUCCCGGUGUAGCGGUGAAAUGCGUAGAGAUCGGGAGGAAGGCCGGUGGCGAAGGCGGCGCUCUGGAACGUUUCUGACGCUGAGGCUCGAAAGCGUGGGGAGCAAACAGGAUUAGAUACCCUGGUAGUCCACGCCUUAAACUAUGGAUACUAAGUGUCGGCGGGUUACCGCCGGUGCCGCAGCUAACGCAUUAAGUAUCCCGCCUGGGAAGUACGGCCGCAAGG
rnacentral:rRNA from 1 species